GCCAGCGUGGCAUAAUAGGUUGAGUGAUGGACGAUGACUCUGGAGGCCAGGGUUCAAUUCCCAGCUCAGCCA